GAUGAAGAACGUAGCGAAAUGCGAUAAGUAAUGUGAAUUGCAGAAUUCAGUGAAUCAUCGAAUCUUUGAACGCACAUUGCGCCCCUUGGUAUUCCGAGGGGCAUGCCUGUUCGAGCGUCAUUAUAACCCCUCAAGCUCAGCUUGGUGUUGGGGCCUGCCGCACGGGCAGCCCUUAAAAUCAGUGGCGGUGCUAUCUGGCUCUAAGCGUAGUAAUUCUUCUCGCUAUAGAGUCCCGGUGGAUGCUUGCCAUUAACCCCCAAUUUUCUAUGGUUGACCUCGGAUCAGGUAGGGAUACCCGCUGAACUUAAGCAUAUCAAUAAGCGAGGA
rnacentral:misc_RNA from 1 species